GCCUACAGCCAUGCUACCCUAAAGGUACCUGAUCUUGUCUGAUCUCAGAAGCUAAGCAGGGUCGGGCCUGGUUAGUACUUGGAUGGGAGACAAAUGAUAAUAAGAUACAGCAUACU
rnacentral:rRNA from 1 species